UUGCCGCAAUGGGCGAAAGCCUGAACCAGCCAUGCCGCGUGUGUGAUGAAUGCCCUUUGGGUUGUAAAGCACUUUUAUCUGGGAAGAAUGGCCGCCAUUUAUGGUGGAAGCGACGGUACCAGAAGAAUAAGCACCGGCUAACUCCGUGCCAGCAGCCGCGGUAAUACGGAGGGUGCAAGCGUUAUCCGGAAUCACUGGGUUUAAAGGGUACGUAGGCUGUAAUAUAAGUCAGACGUCAAAGGCUGUGGCUAAACCACAGUACGCGUUAUGAAACUAUAUCACUUGAAUAUGUACGAGGUGCACGGAAUGCGUCAUGUAGCGGUGAAAUGCAUAGAUAUGACGUAGAACACCAAUUGCGAAGGCAGUGCACUAGGGCAUCAUUGACGCUGAGGUACGAAAGCGUGGGUAGCGAACAGGAUUAGAUACCCUGGUAGUCCACGCCCUAAACGAUGCUAACUGGUCAUUUAUCACUUGAGCAUAAGUGACUGAGGGAAACCAUUAAGUUAGCCACCUGGGGA
rnacentral:rRNA from 1 species